GGGCUUGUGGUCUAGUGGUAUGAUUUUCCCUUAGCAACGUCUGGUAUUGAACCCAGAAAAAGCUGGGAGAGGUCCGGGGUUCAAUUCCCCGCGAGUCCA